AUGCCUCAUUCACAAAUCUGGAGUUAUAACCCUCCCGUGUUUGUUCACUUUUGCAAAGUGACCGGUGCUAAAGUCUUUGAUCGCUUUGCUGCGAGAGCUGCAGAAAUACAACAGGCUCCAAUAAGAAAACGGACCAAGAGGAGGUCUCCCCUGCUUCAGAGUCGGCAUAAACCUGCCCGGCCCGCCGUCAUAUCUACAGUUUUCUCCAGGGGGCAGUUGGUGAAUCUUUUGACUGAACCGCUGGUACUUGAAAAACUAACUGAAGAUUUCCCCAUGAACAAGGGACCGUUUCAAUUUACUCCUGUGAAGGCUGUACAAUCUGUGACAGCCAAAGGCAACCCAACAUACAUGUUGACUUGGCAAGAGACUAGGUAAAUUUCCCAUUCUGGGACUGCAAAAACAGGUUCCCGCUUCGGUCCAUUGGAUCAUAUCAGUGCUAAGGGG
rnacentral:lncRNA from 1 species